UACAGAGGUCUCAAGCGUUGUUCGGAUUUAUUGGGCGUAAAGGGUGCGUAGGCGGCUCGGUAAGUCGGGUGUGAAAUCUCGGGGCUUAACUCCGAAACUGCAUUCGAUACUGCCGUGCUUGAGGACUGGAGAGGAUACUGGAAUUUACGGUGUAGCGGUGAAAUGCGUAGAUAUCGUAAGGAAGACCAGUGGCGAAGGCGGGUCUCUGGACAGUUCCUGACGCUGAGGAGCGAAAGCGUGGGGAGCAAACAGG
rnacentral:rRNA from 1 species